CUUUGACACAUUUUCUCUUCCUUUGAAAUUCUUAUCGGACAGAACAUGGACACAAUGCAAUUGGGAUCAAGAAGAAGGACUGGAGACCACAGCAGCGAUCCUGCUCUUGUCCUACCUCUUCAAUGAGGACCCGAGUGGCCUUUAUGUCCGUGACAUGAUUUCACCGCUCUUCACUACUUUACGGCACAUCGGCGGAAAUCCAUUUCACCAUGAGAGUGAAAUCCCGCUGGCCUUUGAUGGGGCGAACAUCCACGCCCUCGAGGACGUCUCCAUGGGACUUGGGGCUCUGCUAGGGCUGUAUUUUUUUAUUUUCCCUUAAAUUUCCCAAAAAUGUCAGAAAAACACUUAUGUUGUUAAAUUACUGUGUUCUGGAGAUAAGAGAAGUUGGGGUGAAGUUACCAGGGCCGGUCAUAAAGAUGGCAAACUUCCUAACAUAACUAAGUGAAUAUGAUAUACACACUAAAGCAGAAAAAUCUGUACUUAGCAUCAAGUCUACAAUGUUAUUAGUUUACCUAUGAUUCAUUUUUAAUGUAUGUUGUUUUUAUUGUACAUUAUUGUUUUUAUAUAUUUUUUAAAUGUCAUGAAAGGCACUAUAUGAGGUAAAGUGUAUACAUAUCGCCCCAUAAUUCGAAGUCCUUGGAAGUCAUGUGCUGAGGGGGUAUGACCAAAGUUAUUCUAUUUAGCUACACUUUUUAGUACAUUUUUUCAUUAUAAUAAAUGUUUCUGAUGCCACAUCACUCAUUUUCAAAGGGAAUGGUUGGUUUUUAGGGGCAGUCGCUUUUUUAGCUUUUUGUCUGAAAGUAUUUUCUCAACUGCGAUACCGACUCCAGUCAGCAGAUGGCGAUGUGCGUCUUUCAGGUGAUUCUGCCACUGUGAUGUAUAAUCUUGUGGACGGGACGCUUCUUCAACAUCAACAGCUAGUCACCCACCUUGGUUCACUCUAACUUGAUGUAAAAAUGUUUAUUCAAUAAAUAUAGCAACUUCUCUCAUACUGGGAAGAACCAAAAGUGACAUUUUCAGGCUUUAAGGGCAGUUUUAUUUCAAAUGUCGUACCCAGAUGGAGAAAAUCCAGAAAGCGUUUUAUAGUUUCAUCGUCAUGGUAACUUACCCUAGAGUGGACACAC